ACUACAGGGCGAAGCCGAUCCGCACGCCGCGCGCAGGAAGAAGGCCUCCGGGCCGUAAACCGCUCUUGUACGGAACGAAACGGUCUGCCCUAAUACGGCGGGCUAAUGACGGUACCGUAAGAAUAAGCACCGGCUAACUACGUGCCAGCAGCCGCGGUAAUACGUAGGGUGCGAGCGUUAAUCGGAAUUACUGGGCGUAAAGCGUGCGCAGGCGGUUAUGUAAGACAGUUGUGAAAUCCCCGGGCUCAACUUGGGAACUGCGUUUGAAACUACAAAACUAGAAUAUGUCAGAGGGGGGUAGAAUUCCACGUGUAGCAGUGGGGGUGCGGGAGAGAUGUGGAGGAAUACCAAUGGCGAAGGCAGCCCCCUGGGAUAAUAUUGACGCUCAUGCACGAAAG
rnacentral:rRNA from 1 species